UGGGGAAUAUUGCACAAUGGGCGGAAGCCUGAUCGAGGGUUGGCGCGUGUAUGAACUAGGCCUUCCGGUUCAAAAGUACUUUCAGCGAGGAGGAAGGGGUUGUGGUUAAAAACCGCAACGAAAGACGUAACUCGCAGAAGAAGCACCGGCUUACUCCGUGCCAGCACCCGCGGUGAUACGG
rnacentral:rRNA from 1 species